CAUUAAGAAGCUAUGAAUCAGCGUUAGCCUUUUAAGCUAAAGACAGAGGACUGCACCCCUCCUUAAUGA
rnacentral:tRNA from 1 species